CCGCUUAGAGUCUAAAAUUAUACUAGAAUCGGUAUUUUUUCUGUGGACAACUUUCCCACCAGCAAUUUUUCUCUGUCUUACAAUGAUACCACUUUUUCUAAAAGGAAAUCUGACUGAGGAAGUACUUUAAGGAGAUAAUUUUAUGAUUUUCUCCAAGAGUUUUCAAAACAAAUGAGAAAAGCCUGGAAAUAACUGUGAAAACCGGAAAACCUUAGGAAAAAUG